rnacentral:rRNA from 1 species
ACGCGAAGACCCCGCAAGGGGUUUGUAGAGUGGCGAACGGGUGAGUAACACGUGGGUGACCUACCUUCGAAUGGGGGAUAACGUCCCGAAAGGGACGCUAAUACCGCAUAACAUCCUGCCUUUGAACAGGUGGAGAUCAAAGCCGGGGAUCGCAAGACCUGGCGUUUGAAGAGGGGCCCGCGUCUGAUUAGCUAGUUGGUGAGGUAACGGCCCACCAAGGCGACGAUCAGUAUCCGGCCUGAGAGGGCGGACGGACACACUGGGACUGAGACACGGCCCAGACUCCUACGGGAGGCAGCAGUGGGGAAUUGUUCGCAAUGGGCGCAAGCCUGACGACGCAACGCCGCGUGGAGGAUGAAGGUCUUCGGAUUGUAAACUCCUGUUGCCCGGGACGAAAUGCUUCGACCUAACACGUCGAAGUUUGACGGUACCGGGUGAGGAAGCCCCGGCUAACUCUGUGCCAGCAGCCGCGGUAAUACAGAGGGGGCAAGCGUUGUUCGGAAUUACUGGGCGUAAAGGGCGCGUAGGCGGCCCGCUAAGUCGAACGUGAAAUCCCCGGGCUCAACCCGGGAACUGCGUCCGAUACUGGUGGGCUUGAAUCCGGGAGAGGGAUGCGGAAUUCCAGGUGUAGCGGUGAAAUGCGUAGAUAUCUGGAGGAACACCGGUGGCGAAGGCGGCAUCCUGGACCGGUAUUGACGCCGAGGCGCGAAAGCCAGGGGAGCAAACGGGAUUAGAUACCCCGGUAGUCCUGGCCCUAAACGAUGAAUGCUUGGUGUGGCGGGUAUCGAUCCCUGCCGUGCCGAAGCUAACGCAUUAAGCAUUCCGCCUGGGGAGUACGGUCGCAAGGCUG